rnacentral:rRNA from 1 species
UCGGCAAUGGACGAAAGUCUGACCGAGCAACGCCGCGUGAGUGAAGAAGGUUUUCGGAUCGUAAAGCUCUGUUGUAAGUCAAGAACGUGCGUGAGAGUGGAAAGUUCACACAGUGACGGUAGCUUACCAGAAAGGGACGGCUAACUACGUGCCAGCAGCCGCGGUAAUACGUAGGUCCCGAGCGUUGUCCGGAUUUAUUGGGCGUAAAGGGAGCGCAGGCGGUCAGGAAAGUCUGGAGUAAAAGGCUAUGGCUCAACCAUAGUGUGCUCUGGAAACUGUCUGACUUGAGUGCAGAAGGGGAGAGUGGAAUUCCAUGUGUAGCGGUGAAAUGCGUAGAUAUAUGGAGGAGCACCAGUGGCGAAAGCGGCUCUCUGGUCUGUCACUGACGCUGAGGCUCGAAAGCGUGGGUAGCGAACAGGAUUAGAUACCCUGGUAGUCCACGCCGUAAACGAUGAGUGCUAGGUGUUAGGCCCUUUCCGGGGCUUAGUGCCGGAGCUAACGCAAUAAGCACUCCGCCUGGGGAGUACGACCGCAAGGUUGAAACUCAAAGGAAUUGACGGGGGCCCGCACAAGCGGUGGAGCAUGUGGUUUAAUUCGAGGCA